UGCUGUCACUUAUAGAUGGAUCCGCGCUGCAUUAGCUAGUUGGUAAGGUAACGGCUUACCAAGGCAACGAUGCAUAGCCGACCUGAGAGGGUGAUCGGCCACACUGGAACUGAGACACGGUCCAGACUCCUACGGGAGGCAGCAGUAGGGAAUCUUCCGCAAUGGGCGAAAGCCUGACGGAGCAACGCCGCGUGAGUGAUGAAGGUCUUCGGAUCGUAAAACUCUGUUAUUAGGGAAGAACAUAUGUGUAAGUAACUGUGCACAUCUUGACGGUACCUAAUCAGAAAGCCACGGCUAACUACGUGCCAGCAGCCGCGGUAAUACGUAGGUGGCAAGCGUUAUCCGGAAUUAUUGGGCGUAAAGCGCGCGUAGGCGG
rnacentral:rRNA from 1 species